UUUUCAAACAUGGGAGAAAUCUCUUAUGCGAAAUAAAGACUUGUGAAGGAAAAGCCUAGUCCUGUCAGCCAAUGGUGCCGGGAAGAGGUGAAGGUCUUGUGCGUGAUGAAGCCUGAAUGGGAUGUCAGCUUGUCGACAAGUUGCAUGCGGGCAUAUUUGAAGAGGUCCAGGAAUCACAGAAGUUGGGAGUUGUCAUUGAGAGGUCUUAAGGCUCUGGAUUCUGGAAGAGCUUCUCUAUGGUAGAGAUGAUCCUGUUUCUCUCCUAUCUUGUUCUCAUCGAUGAUUGCCAAUGAAAUGGGAGCCACAUCUGGAUUACAUGUAAAGAGCCCUCAAUCACCUAUUCCCAGGUCUCUUUCUUUUCUUCUUUCUCCAUUUCCUAUGGGUUAGGGGUCCCAUGAGAAGAAGACCUUCCUGUCUUAACAAGUUUUUGGUCCCUGGGAGAAACAAUUUUAGCUAAAAUAUCCUCAUAUCACAACAAAUUUUUGUCCUUUUCUUGCUUUCAUGGUUUUUGUUUACAACUUCUAACAAUAUUCUUUGAAGCCUAGUCUCACGGCACAAAAUUCUCUCUAGCGAUAAGAUGAUUAAAUAUGCAACAGCCGGGUAAAAAUUAGUCUAAAGUAAUUUUCGAUCUAUUUUCUAUUAGACCCAAAAUAGUUAAAAAUAAUUAAUUUAAAUUGUUAAGUAAUCAACUAGUUAUGACUGUUAGAAUAUUGCAGAGGCCUCACAAAGAAAGGAUAAAGGGAUGCGGUCAUAACUUUACAACUUAAUUGGACCACCACCAACAAACAACAUAAGUCUGCACGGCUGAGAAGCUUCGAAGGUGGUGUUUACUGGCUGGUGGGUGUCUCCGUCAGAAGAUCUACCUUGGAUCUUUACCCAUUAAAGUUGAAAGUCAAGAUUCCUGUUUUAAUAAAGCUUCUACUGCCAUUUUUUUUUUAAUCUUUUUGUGCUUGCUCUUCCAGAGAUGAUCCUCACACGUACACAAAGAGGGGUGAAACUUUUAUCAAUUUUCACUUUUUGUUUUAAUAUUUAAAGAAAAUUUAUGACUCUAA
rnacentral:lncRNA from 1 species